rnacentral:lncRNA from 1 species
UGGAGGUCCCGGGAGAGUGGGGCGUGCCCUCUGCACUCUCCAGCUUCCUCUAGUGUUACCUCCGGCACUCCGCUCGGGCGGAGGCUUGUUACAAGGAAAACUGGCGAAUGCUGGGAAAGGCUCACCAGAAAACCUUUGGGAGGGCUGGAUGACUUAGGGAAACGCCCUUUCCAGGUGAAGGAAUAUUGAAGGUGGAAUGACCCUGUGAGCUGUGAAAGAGUUGAUGAACAUCCUAAAGUCAAAUAAUGGAAGUCCAUGGCAGUGACUGCCAUAGCAAUCACACCUUAGCCAGGUGAAGGAGCCAACAUAGUCCUAAUCUCCCAUGUGUCUGAGCCCAGAAGUAAAUGGACCCAGCAACUGAGAUUCCAUGUCCCACAGAUGGCACUGCAGGAUGAAAGUUGCAGUAAUGUUUGACUUACGGAGAAAACGGAGGACCAGGAUAUCCAACAGUCAAGAUGUGGCUGAGUCUAGCCAGAAAUUGUCUUGUUUUUGUCCCUCAUAAAUCUAUCUUAAGCUUUAAUUAAUUUACCUGUUAAGCGUGGGUGCAACUAUGCAAGUUUAAUGCUAUAAAAAUUAUUUAAUCCAUUUCUGAGCAUAGAAAUAUUUGUACUUUAGAGAAAGAAAUAUAAUUUCAUAUUUUGGUGACUUCAGGGAAGGAAGAUAGAAGGGAGAAAGGAAAAGACCAAAGAUAAAUAUGUUGUUCAGUCUUAUCAAACUCUUUGUGACCCCAUUUGGGAUUUUCUUGUUAAAGAGACUAGGAUGAUUUGCUAUUUCCUUUUGCAGCUCAUUUUACAGUAGAGGAAUGAAGAUAAACAGGGUUAAGUGACUUGCCCAAGGUAACAUAGCUAGGAAGUGUUUGAGGCUGGAUUUGAAUGCAAGAUGAGCCAUCCUAACUGCAGGCCCAGCUUUCUAACCACUGUAUUACCUAGAUGCCCUAAAGGUGAACUUGGCUUGUUUCAAAAUUGUGCCUCUGAAUUCAUCUAUUGAAGUGGGAAAAAAAGUCUCUUCCUCUUUCUCAGCUCUAGAUCUGGAGGUGGAAAGAAGUCCAAAACACUCAUUUCAGAGAUGAGGAAACCAAGGUCCAGGGAAAUGAUAUAAGUUGCCUAGUGUCACACAUCUGGUAAGUGCCAGAAGUGGAAUUUGAAAGCAAGCCAUUGUACUUUGAAGCCA